GCCAGACUCCUACGGGAGGCAGCAGUGGGGGAUAUUGCACAAUGGGGGGAACCCUGAUGCAGCGACGCCGCGUGGGUGAAGGAGCGUUUCGGCGCGUAAAGCCCUAUCGGCAGGGAAGAAGGAGGACGGUACCUGACUAAGAAGCCCCGGCUAACUACGUGCCAGCAGCCGCGGUAAUACGUAGGGGGCAAGCGUUAUCCGGAUUUACUGGGUGUAAAGGGGGCGCAGACGGCAGCGCAAGCCAGGGGUGAAAGCCCGGGGCCCAACCCCGGGACUGCUCUUGGAACUGCGCGGCUGGAGUGCAGGAGGGGCAGGCGGAAUUCCUGGUGUAGCGGUGAAAUGCGUAGAUAUCAGGAGGAACACCGGUGGCGAAGGCGGCCUGCUGGACUGCAACUGACGUUGAAGCCCGAAAGCGUGGGGAGCAAACAGGAUUAGAUACCCCCGUAG
rnacentral:rRNA from 1 species